GACGAACGCUGGCGGCGCGCCUAACACAUGCAAGUCGAACGAGCGAGAGAGAGCUUGCUUUCUCGAGCGAGUGGCGAACGGGUGAGUAACGCGUGAGGAACCUGCCUCAAAGAGGGGGACAACAGUUGGAAACGACUGCUAAUACCGCAUAAGCACACGGGUCGGCAUCGACCAGAGGGAAAAGGAGCAAUCCGCUUCGAUAAGGCCUCGCGUCCGAUUAGCUAGUUGGUGAGGUAAUGGCCCACCAAGGCGACGCUCGGUAGCCGGACUGAGAGGUUGAACCGCCACAUUGGGACUGAGACACGGCCCAGACUCCUACGGGAGGCAGCAGUGGGGAAUAUUGCACAAUGGGGGAAAUCCUGAUGCAGUGACGCCGCGUGGAGGAAGAAGGUCUUCGGAUUGUAAACUCCUGUUGUUGGGGAAGAUAAUGACGGUACCCAACAAGGAAGUGACGGCUAACUACGUG
rnacentral:rRNA from 1 species